GACGAACGCUGGCGGCGUGCUUAACACAUGCAAGUCGAACGGAAAGGCCCUGCUUUUGUGGGGUGCUCGAGUGGCGAACGGGUGAGUAACACGUGAGUAACCUGCCCUUGACUUUGGGAUAACUUCAGGAAACUGGGGCUAAUACCGGAUAGGAUCUCCUGCUGCAUGGUGGGGGUUGGAAAGUUUCGGCGGUUGGGGAUGGACUCGCGGCUUAUCAGCUUGUUGGUGGGGUAGUGGCUUACCAAGGCUUUGACGGGUAGCCGGCCUGAGAGGGUGACCGGACACAUUGGGACUGAGAUACGGCCCAGACUCCUACGGGAGGCAGGAGUGGGGAAUAUUGCACAAUGGGAGGAAGCCUGAUGCAGCAACGCCGCGUGCGGGAUGACGGCCUUCGGGUUGUAAACCGCUUUCGCCUGUGACGAAGCGUGAGUGACGGUAAUGGGUAAAGAAGCACCGGCUAACUACGUG
rnacentral:rRNA from 1 species